GGCGUCAGAGCCAAGUGGUAAGGCAAGGGUCUGUAAACCCCUGAUUCCCCAGUUCAAAACUGGGUGACGCCUCCA
rnacentral:tRNA from 1 species